rnacentral:rRNA from 1 species
UACACUCCUACGGGAGGCAGCAGUGGGGAAUAUUGGACAAUGGGCGCAAGCCUGAUCCAGCCAUGCCGCGUGAGUGAUGAAGGCCCUAGGGUUGUAAAGCUCUUUCACCGGUGAAGAUAAUGACGGUAACCGGAGAAGAAGCCCCGGCUAACUUCGUGCCAGCAGCCGCGGUAAUACGAAGGGGGCUAGCGUUGUUCGGAUUUACUGGGCGUAAAGCGCACGUAGGCGGACUAUUAAGUCAGGGGUGAAAUCCCGGGGCUCAACCCCGGAACUGCCUUUGAUACUGGUAGUCUUGAGUUCGAGAGAGGUGAGUGGAAUUCCGAGUGUAGAGGUGAAAUUCGUAGAUAUUCGGAGGAACACCAGUGGCGAAGGCGGCUCACUGGCUCGAUACUGACGCUGAGGUGCGAAAGCGUGGGGAGCAAACAGGAUUAGAAACCCCGGUAGUCCCAUGAU